GUUGAGUGGGCACCACAGUCACUGGACUUGACCCCUCCCAGAGUUUUAUCUGUGGGGGUAUCUCAAGGAUAAUGUUUACCAGAAUAACCCUCAAACGAUUGGUGAACUGAAGGCAGCAAUCACAGCAGAAAUCAGGGAAAUCUCCAAAGAGGAAUGUGUUCAAGUAAUUGAUAAUUUUGCAAUGAAUGGUUUGACGAAAAUUUAACUGUCUCUAUUUUAUUUAUUAGAAAUUAAUUUUUAUAGUGAAAAAGCUUUAAUUAUUUAAAGGGACGAAAAGACCCUAUUGAGCUUUUAUUAUUAUUAAAUUAUUUAGUUAUA